AUGGCAUGGGGAGAGGAAUUGCAGGGCCCAAGACCAGGGAGUUGGCAGAUUGUUGCUGUUUGUCCUGAUGGCCCCUUGAAUCUGAAGCAAUCCACAUGCCAAUGCAUUCAUGUUUGGCUUCUGACAUACCAGAUUGAGGUGCAGCAAUUGAAUGGUAGAUGCAAGUAUGAGGGCAAUGCUCCUGGGGGCCUUGCCUCUUUGCCCCGUAUGCCUGUCUCUCUUCCUCAUGCUUGCAUGUAUUUCCUUGCCUCAAGCCAGAUUGAGUGGCCCAGGAUGGAAGACCAUUGGCAUCGGAGACCCAUCACAUAUUCCAUGACUCCCAGCCUGGAAAGUCGAGGCCUACGAGCCGCCACGGGCCACUGGACACGCGGCCCUUGGUGGUACAGGUGGAACACCAAUGGCUGUGCAUUUGGAGCGAAGGACAACAGUGGCAGAUUUAUGGACCAUCCAACAGUUUUCCUCUCCCAUAAUCAGUUCCUCUCUGGCGGAAUUCCAGAUCCACAAGUGACUGGAAGUGAUGUUAGAGAGAAGGGAUAUUUUGCUGCUUGGAAUUCCACUGCCACCCCCAAAGAAGUGCUGUUUUCGUCACUUGUAUGAGCUCCUUUCUCUGGGAAAAUUCACAGCAUUGCUUUCUAGAGACUGACAUGUUCCAAAAACUAGGUUUCAUAUGAAUGAACUUAUUCCUUCCCCUUGAGAUGAGACAUAAAGAAAAAUGUUAGGAAUAAUUCUGCCUCCAUCCUCAAAGGCCUGUGUGAAUUCUCACAAAGGUAAGCAUUUUGUCCUAAAGGAUACUGAUACUCUUUUAGGGAAUUACAGUGACAGUGAGAAUCUGUCUGCAUUAGUCAAGCAUGAGACUGGGUCACUGAUUGUGCUUGCUGGUCUCCAUGACUUUUUAGCAUGCCUGUGUGGCCAGUGGUGGUGGGAUCUUUAGUGUUUAAUGACUAUCACAUAUCUUAGGCUCAUAGCUGCUUUUAUAAACAUGCCAGGGCCAAAGACGGUUUCAAUCAUUGAUCUCUUGGAAAAUCUGAACCAAAGGAGUAAUAGAAUCAUUUCUCUGAAACUAAGUUUAAUAUAUAUAAAAGGUUAGGUAACAAAAUUAGUGUUACUUGAAAUAGAUUGUGAUAAUUUAAGGUGCCUUUUACAAACCCUAGGGUCAAUACUAAGCAAAUAACUCCAAAAUAUUUUUUAAAAACCUACCAACUAAUUAAAAUAGUGCAAUAAAAAGUGUCUAUUUAAUACA
rnacentral:lncRNA from 1 species